AACAUGGCGAGACCUUGUCUCUACAAAAAUAAAAAAAUUAGCCAGGAGUGGUGGUGCAUGCCUGUGGUUCUAGCAACUCAGGAGUUGAGGCGGGAGAGUCACUUGAGCCCAAGAGAUAGAGAAUGCAGUGAGCUGUGAUUGCAUCACUGCACUCCAGCCUGGGUGACCGAAUGAGACCCUGUCUCAAAAAAAUAAAUAAAUAAAUGGGCUGAGUUCUAAAGUUCCUAUCACAUAAGAUCAAAAUUUAAACAUAAGUAAAGAUUAGGGUGAUAAGAUGUACACUUUCCACCAACCAAAUGAUAAAAUUUAUGAGUUGCCCCAUCAUGGAUACUUGUUGGAUGGAAAGAAUGAAGUGCUUUUUUGGAAUGGAUAAAUACUUUGAAAUUUAGAAGACAUUGGAGGGGAAAUGAAAAUGUUUGGUUAUGACUGUAUUGGAAUACAGUAACUAAAGUAUCAAGCAGGCUGUAGCGGAAAUUGUUAGCUAUCUCCUCAGCAUGUAUUUUCCUCUUCUAAAUCAUACCCUGAUUUUAUUUCAGGUGUCCAUUCUUUCCCUACAUAAUCUGAAGCUGACCCUACUCCAGCUUUAGGAGUCAACCUGUUUUGUCCAAGAUGGUAGCUUUCAAGCUUUUUUUGACUCCAAUCCACAAGUAGAUUUUAUAUGGUGAUCCAGGUUAUGGACCACUGUUUGAAAGACACUGAUGAGUGUAAUGCAAUUUCCCUUAGAAAAAUUGUUGAGAAACCUGGAUAAAAGCCUACUGGAGGUAUGGUAUUACUCUGACCACAGAAUUGGUCCAGGAAUACUAUGUGACUCAAUACAAACCAGAGAAAAGCAAGGGCAAUAGUAUGGGGGCUUUAAAAAAAGAUGCUUCCUCACUCUUAAGGAAGAGAUAAGUGUCCUGUGUAUGUGAGAGCAAGAAUAAUGCCACUCUAGCUACCCAGCUAGUGGUUAAAGCCACAACACAACAAAGAGGGCAGAGGCCUUAUAUGGUAACCUGAGUGCCUACAUUUGUCUCUAACUUGCUAAAAUUUCAGGCAUGCUGAAAGAAAUAUCAAACUUAGACUAAAUCUAUAGCAACACCAAGAAGCAAAAAAGUUAUGUUUGCUCUCAAAGAAUUUACAUUCUAGUGGGAGAGACAGACAAUAAUAAGUGCUACAAGGAAAUUUUUUCAAAAGAGAGUAAAUGAAGGAGGGUCCUUACUGCGAGUGAUCUAAGAAGGUAUUUCCAAGGAAAUGACAUUUGAGCUGAGACCUCAGUAAUAAGAAGGAGCCAAUCAAAUGAAGAUUGGGGAAAGAAUAUUCCAGAGGGAAAGAAAGCAAGUACAAAUACCCUGAUGCAGGAAAGAGUGAGGUGUGUCUGAGGAAUGCAUCAUAGAAAUUGUCAGUAGGUAGGAAGGAGGCAGGGCACUGAGGGUCUUACAGGCCAGUGUAAGGGGUUUGGAUUUUAUUUCAACUGUGUUGGGAAGCCACUGUGGUUCUUAAACACGGGGAAGGGGUGAGGGUUAGGUUACCUCCUUUAGGGAGUAUUUAGAAAUGUAUAAGGGAAUUGAGGGAAGAGCUAUUGUAACGAGUAUUGUAGACCUAUUAGUAUCAUAUACUCUUUCUUUUGAGAAACUCAAAGCUUGGAUGAUAUUGGGACCCUCAAAAGACUUCUGAGGAGAUCCAGCAGUUUAAGGACUCCACUUUAGAAAAUAUACAUAUUAAUUGGAAGAUUCUGUAUCUUAAUUUUAAGACAGGGAUCAUACUUUGAACCUCUUUUCAUCCCACACAGCACCAUGUUAGGCUCCUUGAGACUGUUAAAUUGGACAACUAUCCAAAUUUGGGAAUAUGCAAAAUCAUUGUCGUUACCUUUUGUCAUAAAGAAAUGUAGUGCAUUGAUCAAACAAAAGCCUGUGAUCUAUAAAAAAUGCCCAAAUUUGACUUGUUUUGUUUUUGUUUUAGUUGAGUAAAGGCAUGAAUAUUUGCUAAGCCAUCUCCAGUAACUCUUCCAAGUUGGCUUGCUACACCAUGUCCUUUUGGCUGUCACAAAUCUUUCCCCACUCUUCUGUUCUUUUGGGAAGAGGAAGCCGGAAUUCUUAGUGGGUAGAAGAGCAAAGACUCACCCUUAGGAAUUUCACUGUUGGAAUUAUUUUUUUAAUUUUUAAAUUCCCUCCACCUUGAAUCACCUUGAAUCAUAUGAUUUCAAGACUUCAUAUAGAGAAGUAGCCCCUAUCAUCCUGCCCAAAGUGUGUAAGGGGAACCCUGAUCUGAAUAAUAUAGCACUGAGUAAGCUUGGAAUAACAGAAUAAGAUUUUAUUUUUCAAGGCUUUUCUCAAUGCUACUAAAAUAAUAUUUUAAGGAUCACUCUGGAUGUCCAUUUCCAGAGCACUUGCUAGUUGUUAGGCAAUUAACAACCAUUUUAUAGCUAUGGAAGAAUCACCUAACCGUCCGGAAGCACUUUGGGACUUUAUAGGAGGCCUUUAAAGUGCAAAGUGUUUUUGCUAUUCUUAGAUGUAUAAAUGCAAAGGUUAGACAUCACUUCUUAUACUCUAAGAUGUAAAAAAUGGUGUAUUGUCAGUCUCAAAGUUUUUGGAAUUCUUGACAGAUUUUCCCAGGUUCAUUCAGCAACAUUUAUGCAUCUUUUUUUUUCCUCAACCAACUGCCUGUUUUGAAAGGCAGGAGUGAAGAUGGCUGUAGAAUACAUGUACCUUAACAGAAACUCACUUUGCAAAUACCCAUCUCAGCUUUUUAAAAUAUUUAUGGUCUAUUAAAGCACCAUAAUUUGGCCACUCAGCUGUCAUCAGGAACUAAGCCAACAUUCCUUUUCAGAAAAAGACUUUGGAGAGGGGCAAACACUUCUGACAGUCAUACUGUGUACUUAUUUUAGAAAAUAAGCUGCUCUCAGGCUUCAGUAUCCAGUCAAAUAUAAUAUAGAACUCUAGUCUGUUUUGAGUCCUACUACAAUAAUAUUUUCACAAUAGACUACCAGUUAUGAAGUUCUCACAUUUUUCCUGCAUGCAUCAAGUAAUUCCAGCAAUUCCUAAAUAGUGCAGCACCCUAAACUCUACCUAUUCUAUUUCUGCUUAAUUUUGUACUCUAGGAAAAAAGGCAGAAUUUCACCAACUAAACUUUAUGCAAGAAGAUGAGAGAUGAAUAGUGCUUAUCAAACCUUUGUUAAGGCUUGAAGUUCAAGACACAAACUCUAUUGUGAAAAUCAAUGAACAAUUGUUUGGUGUAUGUAUGGAGCAUUUACUUGGUAUUUAGCCAGUCAAACACUGAAACAUACAACCAUGCCUCUGCCUUGUAUUACAUCACUGCUAGUGAAAUGGACUUAGGAAUCUGGACAAAGUUAGUGUAGCAUUUCCAAGUCAUAAAAUAUUUUAAAACAUGCUAAUUCAGACUAAAGAAAUGUUUAAUGAAAAGUUUAAAUUGUUAUUUCCAAUUCUAUAGAGUAGAACAGGGAAUGUAAGAUCUAUGAGGGCAGGAACCUUGACUUUCUUAUCUACCUCUGUAUUCUCAGGGCCUAAAAUAAUGCCUGAUGCCUAAUAGUUCAUUAAAUGGGUGUUUAGUAUCGAUAUGUUAGUGGUGGGAAAAGGACUAGGUUUGACUCUGAACUCUUUGACACUUUCUAGUCUGGACCAUUGUUCAAGUCACUUAAGUUCUCUCACCCUCAGUUUCUUCCUCUCUUUUAAGAGGAAUAAUAUUUUAUUCUGUGUUUUACAGCCCUGCUCUGAGAAUCAAAUAAUGUAAUACAUGUAAAAUCCCUAUGUAAAAUGUUAUAGCAUUAUCAAAUAUCAUUAUUUUAAUACUAACAAUGUUAUAACACAAUAUUACCUGGUAGA
rnacentral:lncRNA from 1 species